rnacentral:rRNA from 1 species
UACGGAGGAUGCGAGCGUUAUCCGGAUUUAUUGGGUUUAAAGGGUGCGUAGGCGGUCCGUUAAGUCAGCGGUAAAAUACGGGGGCUCAACCUGCGUCCGCCGUUGAAACUGGCGUUCUUGAGUGGGCGAGAAGUACGCGGAAUGCGUGGUGUAGCGGUGAAAUGCAUAGAUAUCACGCAGAACUCCGAUCGCGAAGGCAGCCUACCGGCGCGCUACUGACGCUCAUGCACGAAAGCGUGGGUAUCGAACAGG